AUGAACGCUAGCUACAGGCUUAACACAUGCAAGUCGAGGGGAAACGAUAUUGGAAGCUUGCUUCUUUGCUGGCGACCGGCGCACGGGUGAGUAACGCGUAUCCAACCUGCCCAUCACUUGGGGAUAACCUUGCGAAAGUAAGACUAAUACCCAAUGACGUCUCUAGAAGACAUCUGAAGGAGAUUAAAGAUUUAUCGGUGAUGGAUGGGGAUGCGUCUGAUUAGCUUGUUGGCGGGUAACGGCCCACCAAGGCGACGAUCAGUAGGGGUUCUGAGAGGAAGGUCCCCCACAUUGGAACUGAGACACGGUCCAAACUCCUACGGGAGGCAGCAGUGAGGAAUAUUGGUCAAUGGACGAGAGUCUGAACCAGCCAAGUAGCGUGCAGGAUGACGGCCCUAUGGGUUGUAAACUGCUUUUAUAAGGGAAUAAAGUGAGUCUCGUGAGACUUUUUGCAUGUACCUUAUGAAUAAGGACCGGCUAAUUCCGUG
rnacentral:rRNA from 1 species